UUAAGUUCAGCGGGUAUCCCUACCUGAUCCGAGGUCAACCUUUGAUAAAUUAGGGGUUGAUGGCAAGCACACAUCCAAACCUCCAAAGCGAAAGAAUUACUACGCUUGAAGCCAGAUGGCACCGCCACUAAUUUUGAGGUGCACCAUUGUCUGGUGACACCCAAUACCAAGCUGAGCUUGAGGGUUGAAAUGACGCUCGA
rnacentral:misc_RNA from 1 species